rnacentral:tRNA from 1 species
GGAGAGGUGGCCGAGUGGCUGAAGGCGCACGCUUGGAAAGCGUGUAUACCUCUUGGGGUAUCGUGGGUUCGAAUCCCACCUUCUCCG